GAACGAGGAUAUAUCCUUCGGGAUAUAAGCCGAGUGGCGCAAGGGUGAGUAAUGCAUAGAUUACCUACCUCUAGGAUAAGGACAACUUUGUGAAAACGAAGCUAAUACUUAAUAACACAAGAGAAAAUAAUUUUCUUUUGUCAAUGGGAGGGUAGCAAUACCUUUUGCCUAGAGAGGGGUUUAUGUCCUAUCAGCUUGUUGGUGGGGUAAUGGCCUACCAAGGCGAAGACGGGUAGCCGGUCUUAGAGGAUGGUCGGCCACACUGGGACUGAGACACUGCCCAGACUUCUACGGAAGGCUGCAGUCGAGAAUCUUUCGCAAUGCCCGAAAGGGUGACGAAGCGACGCCGCGUGAGUGAGGAAGGCCUUCGGGUUGUAAAGCUCUGUCAGGAGUUAAGAAAUGUAAGUGUGCUAAUACCACAUUUACUUGACGAAGGCUCCAAAGGAAGCCACGGCUAACUCUGUGCCAGCAGCCGCGGUAAUACAGAGGUGGCAAGCGUUGUUCGGAAUUAUUGGGCGUAAAGAGCACGUAGGUGGGUUUGUAAGUCAGAUGUGAAAGCCUUCUGUUCAACGGAAGAAUUGCAUCUGAAACUGCAAGUCUUGAGUGCAGGAGGGGGGAAUGGAACUUCUGGUGGAGCGGUGAAAUGCGUAGAUAUCAGAAGGAACGCCGGCGGCGAAAGCGAUUCUCUGGCCUAUUACUGACACUCAGUGUGCGAAAGCUAGGGGAGCAAACGGGAUUAGAUACCCCGGUAGUCCUAGCCGUAAACGAUGGGCACUAAGUAGAGGGAAUUACCGAUGUUCUCUCUGCCGUAGCUAACGCAUUAAGUGCCCCGCCUGGGGAGUACGGCCGCAAGGCUAAAACUCAAAAGAAUUGACGGGGGCUCGCACAAGCGGUGGAGCAUGUGGCUUAAUUCGAUGCAACGCGAAAAACCUUACCGGGGCUUGACAUGGUAGAAGUAGGAACCCGAAAGGGUAACGAACGGUAUCCAGUCCGUAGCUAUCACAGGUGUUGCAUGGCUGUCGUCAGCUCGUGUCGUGAGACGUUGGGUUAAGUCCCCUAACGAGCGAAACCCUUGUUUUUAGUUACCAGCGGGUUAUGCCGGGUACUCUAGAAAGACUGCCGUCGUCAAGACGGAGGAAGGUGGGGAUGACGUCAAGUCAUCAUGGCCCUUAUGCCCCGGGCUGCACACGUGCUACAAUGGUCGGUACAAACGGAAGCGAAGCCGAGAGGUGGAGCGAAUCCUAAAAAGCCGAUCUCAGUUCGGAUUGGAGGCUGAAAUUCGCCUCUAUGAAGUUGGAAUCGCUAGUAAUCGCGGAUCAGCAUUGCUGCGGUGAAUAUGUUCCCGAGCCUUGUACACACCGCCCGUCAAGCCACCCAAGCAGGAUGCACCCGAAAACAUUAUAUCUAACCAGGCUUGCCUGGAGGAAAGUGUUGAAGGAGUGUUUUGUGA
rnacentral:rRNA from 1 species